rnacentral:rRNA from 1 species
AACGAACGCUGGCGGCAUGCCUAACACAUGCAAGUCGAACGCAUGUAGCAAUACAUGAGUGGCGAACGGGUGAGUAACGCGUGGGAACCUGCCUAGUGGUAGGGAAUAACCGCGGGAAACUGCGGCUAAUACCCUAUGAGCCCUCCGGGGGAAAGAUUUAUCGCCAUUAGAGGGGCCCGCGUCGGAUUAGCUAGUUGGUGGGGUAACGGCCCACCAAGGCGACGAUCCGUAGCUGGUCUGAGAGGAUGAUCAGCCACACUGGGACUGAGAUACGGCCCAGACUCCUACGGGAGGCAGCAGUGGGGAAUCUUGCGCAAUGGGCGAAAGCCUGACGCAGCGACGCCGCGUGAGGGAUGACGGCCUU